GGCCCAGUGGUCUAGUCGUAUGAUUCCUGUUUCGGGUAAACCCAAUACUCUACCAUUAAACAUGGUUGUAUACAGGAGGUCCCGGGUUCAAUUCCCGGCUGGGCCC